rnacentral:rRNA from 1 species
GUGGGGAAUAUUGCACAAUGGGCGAAAGCCUGAUGCAGCAACGCCGCGUGAAGGAAGAAGGGUUUCGGCUCGUAAACUUCUAUCAACAGGGACGAAAAAAAUGACGGUACCUGAAUAAGAAGCCCCGGCUAACUACGUGCCAGCAGCCGCGGUAAUACGUAGGGGGCAAGCGUUAUCCGGAAUUACUGGGUGUAAAGGGAGAGUAGGCGGCAUGGUAAGUUAGAUGUGAAAGCCCGAGGCUUAACCUCGGGAUUGCAUUUAAAACUAUCAAGCUAGAGUACAGGAGAGGUAAGUGGAAUUCCUAGUGUAGCGGUGAAAUGCGUAGAUAUUAGGAAGAACACCAGUGGCGAAGGCGACUUACUGGACUGAAACUGACGCUGAGGCUCGAAAGCGUGGGGAGCGAACAGGAUUAGAUACCCGUGUAGUCC